rnacentral:rRNA from 1 species
UACGUAGGGGGCAAGCGUUAUCCGGAAUCAUUGGGCGUAAAGCGCGUGUAGGCGGUUCUGUAAGUCCGCUCUGAAGGCCCAGGGCUCAACCCUGGGAGGCGGGUGGAUACUACAGAACUGGAGUACGGAAGAGGAGAUUGGAAUUCCUGGUGUAGCGGUGAAAUGCGCAGAUAUCAGGAGGAACACCAACAGCGAAGGCAGAUCUCUGGGACGUUACUGACGCUGAGACGCGAAAGCGUGGGGAGCAAACAGG